GAUGAAGAACGUAGCGAAAUGCGAUACUUGGUGUGAAUUGCAGAAUCCCGUGAACCAUCGAGUCUUUGAACGCAAGUUGCGCCCGAAGCCAUUAGGCCGAGGGCACGCCUGCCUGGGCGUCACACGUCGUUGCCCCCCCCAUCUACUCCUUCGGGAUUGCGGGGGGCGGAUGAUGGCCUCCCGUGCGCCUCGCCGCGCGGUUGGCAUAAAUGCCAAGUCCUCGGCGACGCACGCCACGACAAUCGGUGGUUGCGAAACCUCGGUUGCCCGUCGUGUGCGGUCGUCGCGCAUCGAGGGCUCGAAAAAAUUGCCGAGUUCCGGCUCGGCUUUCAACGCGACCCCAGGUCAGGCGGGGUUACCCGCUGAAUUUAAGCAUAUCAAUGAGCGGAGGA
rnacentral:misc_RNA from 1 species